CCCUUAGAUGUUCUGGGCUGCACGCGCGCUACACUGAUGCGUUCAACGAGUGUAUCACCUUGCCCGAUAGGGUUGGGUAAUCUUUUGAACACGCAUCGUGAUGGGGAUAGAUUAUUGCAAUUAUUAAUCUUCAACGAGGAAUGCCUAGUAAGCGCAAGUCAUCAGCUUGCGUUGAUUACGUCCCUGCCCUUUGUACACACCGCCCGUCGCUCCUACCGAUUGAAUGGUCCGGUGAAGCGUUCGGACCGUGGCCUUUGGACGGUUCGCCGUCUGUUGGCUGCGGGAAGUUCGUUAAACCUUAUCAUUUAGAGGAAGGAGAAGUCGUAACA
rnacentral:rRNA from 1 species